rnacentral:rRNA from 1 species
UACGUAGGUCGCAAGCGUUGUCCGGAUUUACUGGGCGUAAAGAGCGCGCAGGCGGCUGGUCAAGUCCGAUGUGAAAUCUCCCGGCUUAACUGGGAAACUGCAUCGGAAACUGAUCGGCUUGAAGGUGGGAGAGGGUAGUGGAAUUCCCGGUGUAGUGGUGGAAUGCGUAGAUAUCGGGAGGAACACCAGUGGCGAAGGCGGUUGCCUGGAGCUUUGCUGACGCUGAGGCGCGAAAGCGUGGGGAGCGAUCCGG